rnacentral:rRNA from 1 species
GAUGAACGCUGGCGGCGUGCCUAAUACAUGCCAGUCGAGCGAACGGACGAGAAGCUUGCUUCUCUGAUGUUAGCGGCGGACGGGUGAGUAACACGUGGAUAACCUACCUAUAAGACUGGGAUAACUUCGGGAAACCGGAGCUAAUACCGGAUGAUAUUUUGAACCGCAUGGUUCAAAAGUGAAAGACGGUCUUGCUGUCACUUAUAGAUGGAUCCGCGCUGCAUUAGCUAGUUGGUAAGGUAACGGCUUACCAAGGCAACGAUGCAUAGCCGACCUGAGAGGGUGAUCGGCCACACGGGAACUGAGACAGGGUCCAGACUCCUACGGGAGGCAGCAGUAGGGAAUCUUCCGCAAUGGGCGAAAGCCUGACGGAGCAACGCCGCGUGAGGGAUGAAGGUCUUCGGAUCGUAAAACUCUGUUAUUAGGGAAGAACAUAUGUGUAAGUAACUGUGCACAUCUUGACGGUACCUAAUCAGAAAGCCACGGCUAACUACGUG